rnacentral:lncRNA from 1 species
GCCAUGCUUGAUCCCAGGACCCUGACCUGAGAGGAAGGCAGAUGCUUAACUCACUGAGCCACCCAGGUGUCCCACUUUUAAUUUUAAAAUACAUUUAUUUGAAAACAACGAAAACAUUCCACUGAGUACGUUUAACCUGAAUACCACGUCUAACCUGAAUACCAAGAGGAUCUCAGGAUGUCUCAUGUAUGUGCAAAAAUUUUGUUAUAAAAUAGUCUUUAUACACACAUAUUUGCACAUAUGUGUUCGCACACUAAAAUGUUAAUAGCACUCUUCUCUUGGUAUAAUUAUACUUGAUUUUUGUCCCUUUUUAUGAGUUUUAUUAAUUCCAAAUCCCCUACAUGAAUGUGUAUUAGUCUCCUAAUACGAAAAAUAAAAAUGCUUAGAAAUAAUAAAACUAUUUUCCCUACGGUCCAUUUUUUUGAAUCCCUGGUUUUUGCUGGAGGAACUGAGUUUUUUUGUGCCAUUAUGUUAGUAUCUGGUGCAGACCUUGAAUUUUGUGUCAAGAAGUCUGGAGACUAGCCCUCGCCCUCGGCUCAUCAGCCCUUCGGCUGCGGACGUGUUCCUUGGCCUCUCUGGGCCUCAGUGUUCUUCUCAACAAAAGAAGAGGUGCCCUGAGGUAACUCUCUGGUGAGUGUGGCUGUGAGUGGCUUACUUCCCCAAGUAAGACCUGGUCACUCUAAGGGGCUUGUGCAUCAAUCCCUAGGAAUACAUUUAAGCGAUAAACACUUUUGUAACCUAACCGGCAGUCUCGUAUAAGCGUAUUUGUGGCCUUGUGGGCGUUGCCAGGCCCGUACUUACCCCUCCAGGACAAUGGGUCUCACGCGGGAGCCUGCAUCAGAAUCACCUGGAGCCCUGUUAGAAUACAGCCUGCUGCGCCCCAGCCAGAGUUCCGGGUUCUGUGGGGCGGGGGUGGGGCCGGGAAACUGCCUUUCUAACAAGUUCCAGGUGCUGCUGGUGGUCGGAAGAAUCCUACCUCAAGAAAACACCCCGGUUCGGAGAAGGCAUUUCCAAUUUCUUGAAAACAGGAUUCCACCCGGUGCUGUAAGUAGGCGCGAAUGAGGAGACGGACGGGACGCCGGGGUCGGAGGGCGCGCCGGGGAAGAGCGAGUGCGUCGCUUCGGUGGGCUGGAGUCUGCGGCGCGGAGCGGGCGCGCUGUUUCUCUGGUCAAUUAGGACGGUGAGAGGACUUUUUCUGUGAGGCACGUUUAUUUUUAUUUAUUUAUUA